GACAGAGGGUGCAAACGUUGCUCGGAAUCACUGGGCGUAAAGGGCGUGUAGGCGGGAAGGAAAGUCAGAUGUGAAAGCCCUGGGCUCAACCCAGAAACUGCAUUUGAAACUCCCUUUCUUGAGUGUCGGAGAGGAAAGCGGAAUUCCUGGUGUAGAGGUGAAAUUCGUAGAUAUCAGGAAGAACACCCGUGGCGAAGGCGGUUCUCUGGGACGGUACUGACGCUGAGACGCGAAAAGCGUGGGGAGCGAACAGG
rnacentral:rRNA from 1 species